GAUGAACGCUGGCGGCGUGCCUAAUACAUGCAAGUUGAGCGCUCAAGGUUGGUACUUGUACCUCCUGGAUGAGCAGCGAACGGGUGAGUAACGCGUGGGGAACCUGCCUUUGAGCGGGGGACAACAUCUGGAAACGAAUGCUAAUACCGCAUAAAAACUUUAACCACAAGUUUUAAGUUUGAAAGAUGCAAUUGCUUCACUCAAAGAUGAUACCGCGUUGUAUUUGCUAGUUGGUGAGGUAAAGGCCCAACAAGGCGAAGAUACAUAGCCGACCCUAGAGGGGUGACGGGCACAUUUGGACCUGAAACCGGGCCAAAACCCCUACGGGGGCCGCAGGUGGGGAUCUUUGGGAAUUGACGGAAGGCUUACCGAGGAACGGCGCGGGGGGGAAGGAGGUUUUCCGAACGUUAAACCUCUGUUAUAGGGAAGAACGUUAUGGGUAAGUGAAUGCGCAUCUAUUGACGGUAACUACCCAGAAAGCGACGGCUAACUACGUG
rnacentral:rRNA from 1 species